AGGAUAAGGACGGGAAACUGUCUCUAAUACUUGAUAAGGAAUUGGUGCUGGAAAGCUCUUUUCCUGAAACUCGUGCCUAAGGAUGAGUCGGCGGCUGAUUAGGUUGUUGGUGAGGUAAUGGCUCACCAAGCCUUGGAUCAGUAGGGGAGAUGAGAGUCUUAGCCUCGAGAAGGGAACUGAGAUACUGUCCCUAGCCCUAAGGGGUGCAGCAGGUAUGAAUCCUUUACAAUGCACGAAAGUGUGAUAAGGGGAUCCCAAGUGCUUAUGCAUUGCAUAGGCUUUUGUCAAGUGUAAGUAGCUUGACGAAUAAGUAGUGGGUAAGACUGGUGCCAGCCGCCGCGGUAACACCAGCGCUACAAGUGGCAACCAUUUUUAUUGGGCCUAAAGCGUUCGUAGCCGGUUUGGUAAAUUUCCUGUGAAAUUGUUUAGCUCAACUAAACAACGUGCAGGAAAGACUGCUAAACUAGGAACCGGGAGGAGCUAGAUGUAUUUUGGGGGGAGCGGUAAAAUGCAAUAAUCCUUGAAAGACAACCUAUGGCGAAGGCUUCUAGCUAGAACGGGUUCGACGGUGAGGAACGAAAGCUGAGGUAGCGAUCCGGAUUAGAUACCCGAGUAGUCUCAGCUGUAAACGCUGCGAGCUAUGUGGUGCACAUUCUUAGUGGAUGUGCAGCGCCUAAGUGAAGACGUUAAGCUCGCCGCCUGGGAAGUACGGCCGCAAGACUGAAACUUAAAGGAAUUGGCGGGGGCUCACUACAAGGGGUGCGGCGUGCGGUUCAAUCGGAUUCUACGCCGGAAAUCUCACCAGGAGCGACGGCAGGAUGAAGGUCAGGUUAAAGGUCUUACCUAACAAGCCGAGAGGUGGUGCAUGGCCGUCGUCAGUUCGUGCUGUGAAGUGUCAUGUUAAGUCAUGCAACGAACAAGACCCAUGCCUACAUUUGCCAUCAUCUCAAUCUGAGGAAUGGGCACAAUGUAGGGACUGCUCUCGAAAGGGAGAGGAAGGUGUGGGCAACGAUAGGUCAGUAUGCCCCGAAUCUCCUGGGCUACACGCGCGCAACAAUGGUUGGGACAAUGGGAUGCAACUCUGAAAAGAGAAGCCAAACCUCUAAACCCUAUCCAAGUCUAGAUUGAGGGCUGUAACCCGCCCUCAUGACAAUGGAAUCCCUAGUAAUCGGGUUUCAAUACAGCCCGGUGAACACGUCCCUGAGCCUUGCACACACUGCCCGUCAAGCCAACCGAGCAGGGCUUGGAUGAGGAUUAUCCUUUUGGAUAGUUCGAAUCUAAGUUCAGUAAGGUGGGCUAAGUCGUCACAAGGUA
rnacentral:rRNA from 1 species